AACGCUGGCGGCGUGCUUACCUAGCAGUGCAAGUCGAACGAGUUUGCUUUUAAUGAAGCGCGGUGCUUGCACCAACUGAUUUACAAGAAUAAACGAUGUGGCGGACGGGUGAGUAACACGUGGGUAACCUACCCUAAAGUGGGGGAUAACAUUUGGAAACAGAUGCUAAUACCGCAUAAUAUUAAAAACCACAUGGAUUUUUAAUUGAAAGACGGCGUAAGCUGUCACUUUCUGGAUGGACCCGCGGCGUAUUAGCUAGUUGGUGAGGUAACGGCUCACCAAUGGCGAUGAUACGUAGCCGACCUGAGAGGGUGAUCGGCCACAUUGGGACUGAGACACGGCCCAAACUCCUACGGGAGGCAGCAGUAGGGAAUCUUCCACAAUGGACGAAAGUCUGAUGGAGCAACGCCGCGUGAGUGAAGAAGGUUUUCGGAUCGUAAAACUCUGUUAUUGGAGAAGAACGUAUUUGGUAG
rnacentral:rRNA from 1 species